GAUGAAGAACGUAGCGAAAUGCGAUAAGUAAUGUGAAUUGCAGGAUUCAGUGAAUCAUCGAAUCUUUGAACGCACCUUGCGCCUUUUGGUAUUCCGAAAGGCACACCUGUUUGAGCGUCAUGAAUACCUCAAUCUCCAUCUUUUCUUCGGAUUGAUGGGUGACUUGGAUGUUGAGCCCUGCUGGUAUGCUAUAUCAGCUGGCUUUAAACUUAUUAGCCGGCUCUGUACUGGAUCGGUUUGACUCGACGUGAUAAUAUUAUCGUUGAGGAUGCAUGUCUCAUGCAGCCGGAAAGUAUCAAAGCAGCUUCUAGCUUGCCUUUAGUGCACUUUUACAUUUUAGACCUCAGAUCAGGUGGGACUACCCGCUGAACUUAAGCAUAUCAAUAAGCGGAGGA
rnacentral:misc_RNA from 1 species